UACGUAGGGGGCAAGCGUUGUCCGGAAUCAUUGGGCGUAAAGCGCGUGUAGGCGGCUCGGUAAGUCCGCUCUGAAAGUCCAGGGCUCAACCCUGGGAUGCGGGUGGAUACUGCCGGGCUCGAGUCCGGAAGAGGCGAGUGGAAUUCCCGGUGUAGCGGUGAAAUGCGCAGAUAUCAGGAAGAACACCCGUGGCGAAGGCGGCUCUCUGGGACGGUACUGACGCUGAGACGCGAAAGCGUGGGGAGCGAACAGG
rnacentral:rRNA from 1 species